rnacentral:rRNA from 1 species
UGGGGAAUAUUGGACAAUGGGCGAAAGCCUGAUCCAGCCAUGCCGCGUGUGUGAAGAAGGUCUUCGGAUUGUAAAGCACUUUCGGACGGAACGAAAUGGGCGGGACUAAUACUCCUGUCCGAUGACGGUACCGUAAGAAGAAGCACCGGCUAACUACGUGCCAGCAGCCGCGGUAAUACGUAGGGUGCGAGCGUUAAUCGGAAUUACUGGGCGUAAAGCGUGCGCAGGCGGUUUCGUAAGCUGGAGGUGAAAUCCCCGGGCUUAACCUGGGAAUGGCCUUCAGGACUGCGAGGCUAGAGUGCGGCAGAGGGAGGUGGAAUUCCACGUGUAGCAGUGAAAUGCGUAGAGAUGUGGAGGAACACCGAUGGCGAAGGCAGCCUCCUGGGCCAGCACUGACGCUCAUGCACGAAAGCGUGGGGAGCAAACA